GGAAUAUUGGACAAUGGGGGGAACCCUGAUCCAGCCAUGCCGCGUGUGUGAAGAAGGCCUUUUGGUUGUAAAGCACUUUAAGCGAGGAGGAGGCUACUCUAGUUAAUACCUAGAGAUAGUGGACGUUACUCGCAGAAUAAGCACCGGCUAACUCUGUGCCAGCAGCCGCGGUAAUACAGAGGGUGCGAGCGUUAAUCGGAUUUACUGGGCGUAAAGCGUGCGUAGGUGGCCAAUUAAGUCAAAUGUGAAAUCCCCGAGCUUAACUUGGGAAUUGCAUUCGAUACUGGUUGGCUAGAGUAUGGGAGAGGAUGGUAGAAUUCCAGGUGUAGCGGUGAAAUGCGUAGAGAUCUGGAGGAAUACCGAUGGCGAAGGCAGCCAUCUGGCCUAAUACUGACACUGAGGUACGAAAGCAUGGGGAGCAAACAGGAUUAGAUACCCUUG
rnacentral:rRNA from 1 species